GGGAAUAUUGCACAAUGGGGGAAACCCUGAUGCAGCGACGCCGCGUGAGUGAGGAAGUAUUUCGGUAUGUAAAGCUCUAUCAGCAGGGAAGAAAAUGACGGUACCUGACUAAGAAGCCCCGGCUAACUACGUGCCAGCAGCCGCGGUAAUACGUAGGGGGCAAGCGUUAUCCGGAUUUACUGGGUGUAAAGGGAGCGUAGACGGAUAAGCAAGUCUGAUGUGAAAAUCCGGGGCCCAACCCCGGAAUUGCAUUGGAAACUGCAUAUCUAGAGUGUCGGAGAGGCAAGUGGAAUUCCUGGUGUAGCGGUGAAAUGCGUAGAUAUCAGGAGGAACACCAGUGGCGAAGGCGGCUUGCUGGACGAAGACUGACGCUCAGGUGCGAAAGCGUGGGGAGCAAACAGG
rnacentral:rRNA from 1 species